ACUCCUACGGGAGGCAGCAGUGAGGAAUAUUGGUCGAAUGGAGGGAACUCUGAACCAGCCAUCCCGCGUGUAGGAAGACGGCCUUAUGGGUUGUAAAUCUACUUUUAUACAGGAAGAAACGUACCCUCGUGAGGGUGCCUGACCGGUACUGUAGGAAUAAGCACCGGCUAACUCCGUGCCAGGCAGCCGCGGUAAUACGGAGGGUGCGAGCGUU
rnacentral:rRNA from 1 species